UACGUAGGAGGCAAGCGUUGUCCGGAAUUAUUGGGCGUAAAGCGUCCGCAGGUGGCUGUUCAAGUCUGCUGUCAAAGCGCAGAGCUUAACUCUGUACAGGCGGUGGAAACUGAAGAGCUAGAGUAUGGUAGGGGUAGAGGGAAUUCCCGGUGUAGCGGUGAAAUGCGUAGAUAUCGGGAAGAACACCAGUGGCGAAAGCGCUCUACUGGGCCAUAACUGACACUGAGGGACGAAAGCUAGGGGAGCGAAAGGG
rnacentral:rRNA from 1 species